rnacentral:lncRNA from 1 species
UCAAUUUACAGUAAAAGUGAGAAACCCAGAGUAGAAUAUAUGAUUAAACAGUUAGAAUGCGAGCUAAUUUAUCUCGUGAUUGACUUGGUGUAAAAGACAAACUUCCAAGAUAAAAUGAAAGAUACUUGCUAUUAAUCUUGGUUCAGAACUAAGUGAACAAUCAAGAUAUAAGAAUUAGGAAAGAUGGGUUCAUACCUUGUUGGAGAAUUAGAUGAACUUGGGGACUCAAAUUGGGUUGUGGGGUUCUGGUUGUGAGCUUCUCACAGCCAUUCACUUGCAAAAGCAGGGAAUUGUGUAGUAUAUGA